GGGCGUGCGCCGGAGUUGGAGAGCCGGGGCAGACUGUAAAUCUGUUGUCUUACGACUGAGGUGGUUCGAAUCCACCCACUCCCACCA
rnacentral:tRNA from 2 species